AAGAUAAGCUGGCUCAAUGAGACCCUUUCUGCAACUCCAAGAUUGAAAUAAAAAUUAAAAAGAAAAAGUUUUUUCCUGGUUCAACUUUUUUUUUUAAAUAAAAAGGCAAAGGGAAAUUAAAAUGAAUGAAUAAGAAACCAACCCUUUGCUGUUCGAUGGUGGUUUCCUGGAGACUGCUGAGAAGAUGUUUCUGGUUGGAGCUGGCUGAAGCUAUUGUCCGACUGCAUUGAAUCCAAAUCCUAUCUUUCACAAUUCCUUCUCCCAUUUUUCUUUUUAUUUCUUUUUUCUCCUUAAAAAUAUCCCCCUAUUGUGACCUUGGCCAGCUGGGUUUCUGUGGUUUCAUGUGUGUCCAUUUAGCCUGCCUUUGAGAUCUCCCCAUGGCUGCAUCAGAAGAAGGGACUGGUUGCUUUCUGCCGAGAGGCAGGUCUCAGAGUGACCCCAGCAUCCUCACUGACACCUCUACCACUGAAGCCGGAGAGAGCCCAGAUGAGAUGGACCAGUCUCCUGCAGUACGUUCUGAAUAUCUGGUCUCAGGGAUUCGCACUCCCCCAGUGAGGAGGAACAGCAAACUGGCCACGUUAGGCAGGAUCUUUAAGCCUUGGAAAUGGAGGAAAAAGAAAAAUGAAAAGCUGAAACAGACUUCAUCAGUGUUGGAAAAGAAGAUCUCCACGAGGCAAGGUCGGGAUGAACUCAUUAAAAAAGGUCUACUGGAGAUGAUGGAGCAAGAUGCUGAAGCCAAAGCAUGCAGUGCUGAUGCUGGCACUAGAGCAACGCAGAGUGAUCCUUCAACCCCCAAAUGCCAGGCCUUUACCUCAGAAGAGAUGCAGCAAGAAAGCUCCAUAGCAGAAGCAGCAGCUGCCACAGAUCAGACCUCACUUGACAAGGAGCUGCACUCAGAGGAACAGAAAGAAGAUGCAGCCAAGCUGCCUUCACCAUCUAGUGAAGAAUUAGAGGAUGUCAGCCUGUCCUCUGUGGAAGAGUCUGCCCAAGCCUUACCUAUUUCUGAAUCCACAGACUCCCCCCAUAAACACAUGGAGAGAAACCCAGCCCAGCUCCCCAGCCCCCCACGGCUUCCAGUCCCACCACCGAAGUCAGUCUCCAAUAAAACCAAUAAAAAUGUAACAGCAGGGAGUGAUGACCCGGAUGAUGUCCCAGUGAAAUCCCCUCCUUCCACAAUCCUGAAGAAUUAUGUUGUUGUUGGUUCCUCCCAAAUCUCAGGACAAGCUACCCUCUUCCAAGCCUCUGGCCAGAAAAUUUCUGAACACCACCUUAGAGGACAGCAUUCCACACCCACAGGAUCCCCUCAUCUUGCUGCUGUCCAUAGGCCUCUGCCUCCUAGCAGAGUCAUCGAGGAACUCCACCGAGCUUUGGCAACUAAACAUCGCCAGGAUAGCUUUCAAGGAAGAGAGAGUAAAGGGUCGCCAAAGAAACGAGUAGAUGUACGUCCAUCCAGGACCUCCAGUAUUGAACGAAGCAAAGAGAAGGAAAAUGUACUGAGCUGUGAUGGGGGUUCAGAGAACAAAUGGAACUCAGUUAAAGAAUCUGAUGAAAACAAAGAAAACAUGAUCAUGAAUUCAGAACUCAAGGACGAUACACUUUUAUAUCAGGAUGAAGAAGCUUUGAACGAUUCCAUUAUCUCUGGUACAUUACCAAGAAAAUGUAAGAAAGAACUUUUGGCAGUGAAGCUAAGAAACAGACCAAGUAAACAGGAAUUAGAAGACAGGAACAUUUUUCCAAGGAGGACUGAUGAGGAAAGACAGGAAAUCCGGCAGCAGAUUGAAAUGAAACUUUCUAAACGACUGAGCCAAAGACCUGCUGUGGAGGAACUAGAAAGAAGAAAUAUCCUGAAACAAAGGAAUGAUCAGACAGAGCAGGAGGAAAGACGGGAAAUCAAACAGCGAUUGACCAGAAAGCUGAAUCAGAGACCCACAGUUGAUGAACUGCGAGACAGAAAAAUUUUGAUCCGAUUCAGUGAUUAUGUGGAAGUAGCAAAAGCACAGGACUAUGACAGACGAGCAGACAAGCCUUGGACAAGAUUAUCAGCUGCAGAUAAGGCAGCGAUUCGUAAAGAACUAAAUGAAUACAAAAGCAAUGAAAUGGAGGUACAUGCAUCAAGCAAGCAUUUGACAAGAUUCCACAGGCCAUAGAGAUUUUCUUCUGAGAAGAAUUUGUCAAUUUUUGAUACCACCACUGAUCUUUCAUCAGGGAACUUCCCCGAAGUUCAGCUCACGAUAACCUGAUGUUUAUGUGAGCCACGCAGGACUGCACAGUUUUCAUGAGCUGUGAAUGGCCAAAAAAUAAUCAUCAUCAUCUGGUGACCAGAAUUUUGAAUUCUGGUGGCACCAGACCCAUCAACAAAAACAUCACAGUUGAACCUGUACUCAGAACGAUUUCCAACUCUGGAGAACUACCCAGGAGAGUUUGUGUUCUGCUUGCUGAGCUUUUGAGAACCAUCUGGAUCACCUUUAUUACCAGGAUGAGGGCUUCCAUCUGAUUUCCAGAAAGGGUGCUAUCUAAAAACAGCUACAUAUGGAAUGAAAAUGAACUUAUACCUCCCUGGGUAAUUUUUUAGAUUCAAAGGUAAAAAUGCAAGAGAAUGAAUCCCUUCUGGUAGAAUUUUGGACCUGUGCCCUAGAAAUAUUGGGCAGAGGGCCAUCUGCAAUCUGAAAAGCCAUUUAGCCUUAUCCAAGAAUCCCUGUCUCUCUAAUUCUGCCAAAAUAAAUUUCCAUUCUUCUAAA